rnacentral:tRNA from 1 species
GGGGGUGUAGCUCAGUGGUAGAGAUGUCGCUUUGCAUGUGAAAUGUUGUUUCACAUGUCGCUUUGCAUGUGAAAGGCCGGGGGUUCGAUCCCCCGCACCUCCA